rnacentral:tRNA from 1 species
GGUCGUGUGGUUUAGAUGGUUAUAAUUUCUGCUUAACAUUUACAGUUCGCAGACGGUCCCAAGUUCGAGUCUUGGCACGAUCAA